UACUUACCCAAGAUUUGAACCAUUGCCUUCCUAACCUCCAUUAAAGGAUAAACUUGAAUAUUUCACUUAAAAUAGAGUUUCAAAUAUCCUUCUGUUUUGAGAUUGGAUCUCCAAGAAUCCAAGCCUCUCUUUGAUCAAUUUCACUUCCUACAAGCUUCUAGAGUCAAGCCAAGCCAAAUCGGAAGCAAGAUCAAGCUGAUUUGAAGCUAACCGAAGGUGAAAUUUCAGGAACUUAUCUUCUUCGAUUCU
rnacentral:lncRNA from 1 species